GUGUCAGCCGCCGCGGUAAUACGUAGGGUGCGAGCGUUAAUCGGAAUUACUGGGCGUAAAGCGUGCGUAGGCGGUUCGUUAUGUCUGCUGUGAAAGCCCCGGGCUCAACCUGGGAAUGGCGGUGGAAACUGGCGAGCUGGAGUGUGGCAGAGGGGGGUGGAAUUCCAGGUGUAGCAGUGAAAUGCGUAGAGAUCUGGAGGAACACCGAUGGCGAAGGCAGCCCCCUGGGCUGACACUGACGCUGAGGCACGAAAGCGUGGGGAGCAAACAGGAUUAGAUACCCUGGUAGUCCACGCCCUAAACGAUGGCAACUGGGUGUUGGGGGAGCGAUUCCUCAGUACCGUAGCUAACGCGUGAAGUUGCCCGCCUGGGGAGUACGGCCGCAAGGUUAAA
rnacentral:rRNA from 1 species